AUCACUUCUCGGCCUCUUGGCUAGGAUCAAGCGUAGUAUCUGUUCUUAGCAGUUUAAUAAGUCUCAUUGGGCAGUGAGGACACCGCCCUACCCGCA
rnacentral:snRNA from 1 species